rnacentral:misc_RNA from 1 species
GAUGAAGAACGCAGCGAAACGCGAUAUGUAAUGUGAAUUGCAGAAUUCAGUGAAUCAUCGAAUCUUUGAACGCACAUGGCGCCUUCCAGUAUCCUGGGAGGCAUGCCUGUCCGAGCGUCGUUUCAACCCUCGAGCCCUCGUGGCCCGGCGUUGGGGAUCUGCCACGGCAGGCCCCGAAAUACAGUGGCGGACCCGUUAGGCCCUUCCUUUGCGUAGUAGCAUCAGCCUCGCAUCGGGAGCCGGCGGGCUCUCCUGCCUCUAAACCCCCCAACAAGCCCGCUCCGGCGGCACCAAGGUUGACCUCGGAUCAGGUAGGAAUACCCGCUGAACUUAAGCAUAUCAACGGAGGA